AAGGGAGACCUAAUUCGGGUAGGAGACGAAAAGAAAGUAGUCCCUACCAAGAAUCAAUCCCAAAAGGUCGGAACGAGGUAUGAGGCUUUCAAACUAGGUUCUGGGUUCAUAAAAGACCUGAAUCAGGAACAAGGGCUAUUAGCUCAGGUGGUUAGAGCGCACCCCUGAUAAGGGUGAGGUCCCUGGUUCGAGUCCAGGAUGGCCCACCUGCACAGGUGGCAAAAACAAGAGAAGCUCCGAAUCAGCACCUUAUCUUAUAUACAUAUAUAAGAGAGAAUGCUGGCUCUGAGUACAGAGUCCAGAGGAACCUUGAAAACUGCAUAGAGCUAGGUGAAAAAGCCAAAAAAGAAGACCGCAA
rnacentral:tRNA from 1 species